GUGGGCGUGGAUGAGGUCAUACUCGCCGGUGGCCGCGGCGCGCAGGGCGGCCCUGGUGAGCGUGUGGUUGAAGGCCAUCGUCCAGGCCA
rnacentral:tRNA from 1 species